rnacentral:lncRNA from 1 species
GAACAAAAGCAGUCGAACACGGAUGAAUGGGAGAUGCGAAGGAACAAUCGGCGGGCCAGAAGGGAGCGCGAACGAAGAUGAUGAAAGGGAAGCACGAAGGCUUUGCAGGCGGCACGAGGUUUCAGUGAUCGAUUGCGAUAAGGAUCGCCGUCUUCGGGGUUCAACGAGACUGAAAGGGGAGAAGCAGCGAAGCUGCUGUGGUCUCGGUGGAUGCAGCGAGGAGCUGAUCAAGCAGCUUCUCGGAUGCUUGCUUCAGUCUCGGUAGCGGGUUGCGAAGGAAAUGCGAGGAAGAUGUACGAGGGGCGAGGGUUGGUUCGACUGAAGCGACAGAAACCGCAGUAGGGUGUUAGUCGGCAAUUUUGCGACGGGGAAAAAGGGAAGUGCGAUGAGGUGUUUUGCUCCAAUCGGUAGCAGGUAAGUGGAUGGGGGCUUCUCCGGCAGCUCCUUUUUUUUUUUUUGGCAGAAUUCGAUAAGGCUUAAGUGGCUGUUUGGGUUCGAUGUUUGACAGGAAGGAAUGAAAAAGAAUGAUGGUGAGGAGGCUGUUUUGCUGCUUGAAAUCAAAUGGAAGAAGAAGAAACGAGGCUGCGAUCGUUACAAGGAUAGAGAAGGGCAACAACCUUCUUCUUUGGCUGAAGAUCCAGAAACGGUAAAGAAAUGGUAGAAGAUAUAUCUUUUUGUAUUAUUAUUAUUAUUAUUAUUAUUAUUUAUAAAAACUGAUUUGAUUUUGAUUGAGUUUGAGUGUAGCCAAGUAAGGAGUCUUGCAAGUAAUAUUUUGUGUAGAUGUACACUCCAAAAUUGUAGCAUUGAUUGGUAAAGUGUAUAAGUUUCAUUUUGUUUUGGC